AACGAACGCUGGCGGCAUGCCUAACACAUGCAAGUCGAACGAGACCUUCGGGUCUAGUGGCGCACGGGUGCGUAACGCGUGGGAACCUGCCCUUAGGUUCGGAAUAACUCCCCGAAAGGGGUGCUAAUACCGGAUAAUGUCUUCGGACCAAAGAUUUAUCGCCUUUGGAUGGGCCCGCGUUGGAUUAGCUAGUUGGUAGGGUAAAAGCCUACCAAGGCGACGAUCCAUAGCUGGUCUGAGAGGAUGAUCAGCCACACUGGGACUGAGACACGGCCCAGACCCCUACGGGGGGCAGCAGGGGGGAAUAUUGGAAAAUGGGCAAAAGCCUGACCCAGCAAGGCCGGGUGGGUGAUGAAGGCCUUAGGGUUGUAAAGCUCUUUUACCCGGGAUGAUAAUGACGGUACCGGGAAAAAAAGCCCCGGCUAACUCCGU
rnacentral:rRNA from 1 species